rnacentral:misc_RNA from 1 species
CCGAGUUUACAACUCCCAAACCCCUGUGAACUUAUACCUUUACUGUUGCUUCGGCGGGUUAUUGCCCCGGGGAAAACAGGUGCCGCCAGGCCCCUGCCUCCCCCCGGAACCAGGCGCCCGCCGGGGGACUCAAACUCUUCUGUAUUUUUGUUUACUGUAUACUGUCUGAGUAAAAACUAAAAUGAAUCA